rnacentral:rRNA from 1 species
GUGUAGCGGUGAAAUGCGUAGAUAUUGCCAGGAACACCGGUGGCGAAGGCGCCUUGCUGGCCUGAAACUGACGCUGAUGCGCGAAAGCGUGGGGAGCGAACGGGAUUAGAUACCCCGGUAGUCCACGCAGUAAACGAUGCCGACUAGGCGUGGGGGGACUUGACCCCUUCCGUGCCGGAGCUAACGCGGUAAGUCGGCCGCCUGGGGAGUACGGCCGCAAGGCUAAAACUCAA